rnacentral:rRNA from 1 species
UACGUAGGGGGCAAGCGUUGUCCGGAAUCAUUGGGCGUAAAGAGCGUGUAGGCGGCCCGAUAAGUCCGCCGUGAAAGUCCAGGGCUCAACCCUGGAAUGCCGGUGGAAACUGUCGGGCUGGAGUCCGGAAGAGGCGAGUGGAAUUCCUGGUGUAGCGGUGAAAUGCGCAGAUAUCGGGAGGAACACCAAUGGCGAAGGCAGCUCGCUGGGACGGUACUGACGCUGAGGCGCGAAAGCGUGGGGAGCAAACAGG